rnacentral:rRNA from 1 species
UACGUGAGGGGCGAACGUUGUUCGGUGUCACUGGGCUUAAAGGGCGCGUAGGUGGUUGCGUAAGUAACGUGUGAAAGCCCUCGGCUUACCCGGGGAAUUGCGCGUUAUACUGCGUGACUUGAGGAUCUCAGGGGAAGGGGGAACUCCAGGUGUAGCGGUGAAAUGCGCAGAUAUCUGGGGGAAGGCCGGCGGCGAAGGCGCUUCUGGGAGAUUCCUGACACUGAGGCGCGAAAGCGUGGGGAGCGAACAGG